GGUAGCAGCCCCUGGUAUAUCCAGGACAUCAGCACAUAGAACCAGUGAAAGGGUCCUCCCUCAUAGUGACGCAUGUCAUAGACUCAGAUUUAUACAAACAAAUGCUGAGCAAACCAUGAAGAGUCUCUGGUAUUUUCAACAAUAUCAUCACAGAGGAACUGUAUUGAUUUCCUUUGGUCCAAGAACCUGCUGCUCCCGGGUCCUCUCAUUUGAAGACACCCACCGCCUAAGGAUGAAGAGAAGCUCCUUCUUGCAGAUCUGAGGCUGAUUUCCCAACUCCCAGGAACACCCUACCCACAGCCUGUUCCCCAGACCCAGGAACUUUUCAAAUGUAGAGGAGCCUUUAGAAGGAAGCCUUGAGCAUGAGGACAGACCCCCCUCAUCCAACCACCACCUGACUCUGUGUGAACCUGGAACUGUUAGAAUGUCUGUGCUGUGAUAAAAGGUCAUCUCCCUACAAUGUUAUGAUACAGACCUCAAACCUACAAACAUGAGGAACUUCUGCCUCCAGGUUAACUGCUUACCCACUGUACAAGACACGUUACACACAGUCCAGGAGGCGGAGCUUCUGAGAUAUCUAGAAACAGCUUAGAGGCAAAAUGACAAAAUAAAGCAGCAACAACAAAUAAAACCAAUCUUCUCGAA
ensembl:lncRNA LINC01255 long intergenic non-protein coding RNA 1255